CAGAGGUCCCAAGCGUUGUUCGGAUUCACUGGGCGUAAAGGGUGCGCAGGUGGGUUUGCAAGUUCGAUGUGGAAGCCCCGGGCUUAACCCGGGAAUGGCAUUGGAUACUGCAGAUCUGGGGGGAUUGGAGGGGGGACUGGAAUUCUUGGUGUAGCAGUGAAAUGCGUAGAUAUCAAGAGGAACACCAGUGGCGAAGGCGAGUCCCUGGACAAUACCUGACACUGAGGCACGAAAGCUAGGGGAGCAAACAGGAUUAGAUACCCUGGUAGUCCUAGCUGUAAACGGUGCGCAUUUGCUGUAAACGGAAUCGACCCCGUUUGUGGCGAAGCUAACGCGAUAAAUGCGCCGCCUGGGAAGUACGGUCGCAAGAUUA
rnacentral:rRNA from 1 species